AUUGAACGCUGGCGGCAGGCCUAACACAUGCAAGUCGAACGAGUGGCGGACGGGUGAGUAAUGUCUGGGAAACUGCCUGAUGGAGGGGGAUAACUACUGGAAACGGUAGCUAAUACCGCAUACCAUCGGAUUUGCCCGGAUGGGAUUAGCUAGUAGGUGGGGUAAAGGCUCCCCUAGGCGACGAUCCCUAGCUGGUCUGAGAGGAUGACCAGCCACACUGGAACUGAGACACGGGCCAGACUCCUACGGGAGGCAGCGAGGGGGAAUAUUGCACAAUGGGCGCAAGCCUGCUGCGGCCAUGCCGCGUGGAUGAAGAAGGCCUUCGGGUUGUAAAGUACUUUCAGAGGGGAGGCGUUACCCGCAGAAGAAGCACCGGCUAACUCCGUGCCAGCAGCCGCGGUAAUAC
rnacentral:rRNA from 1 species